rnacentral:rRNA from 1 species
GAUGAACGCUGGCGGCGUGCCUAAUACAUGCAAGUCGAGCGAACAGACGAUGAGCUUGCUCCUCUGACGUUAGCGGCGGACGGGUGAGUAACACGUGUAUAACCUACCUAUAAGACUGGUAUAACUUCGGGAAACCGGAGCUAAUACCGGAUAAUAUAUUGAACCGCAUGGUUCAAUAGUGAAAGACGGUUUUGCUGUCACUUAUAGAUGGAUCCGCGCCGCAUUAGCUAGUUGGUAAGGUAACGGCUUACCAAGGCAACGAUGCGUAGCCGACCUGAGAGGGGGGUCGGCCACACUGGAACUGAGACACCGUCCAGGCUACUACGGGAGGCCGCAGUAGGGAAUCUUCCGCAAUGGGCGAAAGCCUGACGGAGCAACGGCGCGUGAGUGAUGAAGAUCUUCGGAUCGUAAAACUCUGUUAUUAGGGAAGAACAAAUGUGUAAGUAAAUAUGCACGUCUUGACGGUACCUAAUCAGAAAGCCCCGGCUAACUACGUG